rnacentral:rRNA from 1 species
UACUCCUACGGGAGGCAGCAGUAGGGAAUCUUCCACAAUGGACGCAAGUCUGAUGGAGCAACGCCGCGUGAGUGAAGAAGGCUUUCGGGUCGUAAAACUCUGUUGUUGGAGAAGAAUGGUCGGCAGAGUAACUGUUGUCGGCGUGACGGUAUCCAACCAGUAAGCCACGGCUAACUACGUGCCAGCAGCCGCGGUAAUACGUAGGUGGCAAGCGUUAUCCGGAUUUAUUGGGCGUAAAGCGAGCGCAGGCGGUUUUUUAAGUCUGAUGUGAAAGCCCUCGGCUUAACCGAGGAAGUGCAUCGGAAACUGGGAAACUUGAGUGCAGAAGAGGACAGUGGAACUCCAUGUGUAGCGGUGAAAUGCGUAGAUAUAUGGAAGAACACCAGUGGCGAAGGCGGCUGUCUGGUCUGUAACUGACGCUGAGGCUCGAAAGCAUGGGUAGCGAACAGGAUUAGAUACCCUGGUAGUCCAUGCCGUAAACGAUGAAUGCUAGGUGUUGGAGGGUUUCCGCCCUUCAGUGCCGCAGCUAACGCAUUAAGCAUUCCGCCUGGGGAUUACGACCGCAAGGUUGAAACUCAAAUGAAUUGACGGA